UACGGAGGAUGCGAGCGUUAUCCGGAUUUACUGGGUGUAAAGGGAGCGUAGGCGGCGCGUUAAGUCUGAUGUGAAAACCCGAGGCUCAACCACGGGAGUGCAUUGGAAACUGGCGUGCUGGAGUGCCGGAGAGGUAAGCGGAAUUCCUAGUGUAGCGGUGAAAUGCGUAGAUAUUAGGAGGAACACCAGUGGCGAAGGCGGCUUACUGGACGGCAACUGACGCUGAGGCUCGAAAGCGUGGGGAGCAAACAGG
rnacentral:rRNA from 1 species